GAUGAACGCUGGCGGCGUGCCUAAUACAUGCAAGUCGAGCGAACAGACGAGGAGCUUGCUCCUCUGACGUUAGCGGCGGACGGGUGAGUAACACGUGGAUAACCUACCUAUAAGACUGGGAUAACUUCGGGAAACCGGAGCUAAUACCGGAUAAUAUAUUGAACCGCAUGGUUCAAUAGUGAAAGACGGUUUUGCUGUCUCUUAUAGAUGGAUCCGCGCCGCAUUAGCUAGUUGGUAAGGUAAAGGCUUACCAAGGCAACGAUGCGUAGCCGACGUGAGAGAGGGGUCGGCCACACUAGAGCUGAGACGCGGUCCAGACUCCUACGGGAGGCAGCAGUAGGGAAUCUGCCGCAAUGGGCGAAAACCUGACGGAGCAACGCCGCGUGAGUGAUGAAGGUCUUCGGAUCGUAAAACUCUGUUAUUAGGGAAGAACAAAUGUGUAAGUAACUAUGCACGUCUUGACGGUACCUGGUCAGAAAGCCACGGCUAACUACGUG
rnacentral:rRNA from 1 species